rnacentral:rRNA from 1 species
GACGAACGCUGGCGGCGUGCUUAACACAUGCAAGUCGAACGGAAAGGCCCUGCUUUUGUGGGGUGCUCGAGUGGCGAACGGGUGAGUAACACGUGAGUAACCUGCCCUUGACUUUGGGAUAACUUCAGGAAACUGGGGCUAAUACCGGAUAGGAGCUCCUGCUGCAUGGUGGGGGUUGGAAAGUUUCGGCGGUUGGGGAUGGACUCGCGGCUUAUCAGCUUGUUGGUGGGGUAGUGGCUUACCAAGGCUUUGACGGGUAGCCGGCCUGAGAGGGUGACCGGCCACAUUGGGACGGAGAUACGGCCCAGACUCCUGCGGGAGGCAGCAGUGGGGAAUAUUGCACAAUGGGCGGAAGCCUGAUGCAGCAACGCCGCGUGCGGGAUGACGGCCUUCGGGUUGUAAACCGCUUUCGCCUGUGACGAAGCGUGAGUGACGGUAAUGGGUAAAGAAGCACCGGCUAACUACGUG